CAGCAACGGGGACCGCAAUAGCAGCAACGGGAACGGCAGCAAGGUUGGCGAUGAGACGAAGGUUUGUGAGGCUGGUGGAUGCUUUGAGAGAGUUGCUGUGAGUUUGAGAUGAGAUGGGAAUAGAAUUAGGGUUUAGUUUGUGGCUAACCAAAGUAAGCUCCUUCGCUAAUGGCUUCCUCCCAGAGCUGGUGAGUUGAAGUAUCUUGUCUUCCAAUUGGACUCUCUUUAAAAUCUCCUGCUUCCCAACAGAUUUGGUACUGUACUCAAAUUGUAGCAUUUGUUAACAGCAACAGCAAUCAGCUCUAUAACUGUAUAUAAAUGAGGCAAUAAGAGUACCUUAAUCUUCCGCAAUACUCA